AUGUUGGAGCUUAGGCUUGUGCAGGGAAGCCUGCUGAAGAAGGUCUUGGAAGCUAUCAAGGAUCUGGUACCGGAUGCCAAUUUUGAUUGCUCCACGACGGGGUUUCUCAUUGAUAAGCCAUGGACUCCAGUCACGUCGCUUUGGUUGCGUUGCUCCUGAGAUCCGAGGGCUUUGAGCAUUAUAGAUGUGAUCGCAACAUUUCCAUGGGCAUGAACCUUACCAGCAUGGCUAAGAUGCUGAAGUGCGCUGGCAACGACGAUAUCAUUACUAUUAAGGCAGAUGACGGCGGUGACUCUGUAACUUUCAUGUUCGAGAGCCCAAAUCAAGAGAGAAUCUCCGACUUUGAGAUGAAGCUGAUGGACAUCGACAGCGAGCACUUAGGAAUCCCCGAAACUGAGUACGAAGCAAUCGUAAGGAUGCCAUCUGCAGAGUUUGCUCGUAUUUGCAAGGAUCUCAGCACCAUCGGUGACACAGUUGUUAUAUCUGUGACCAAGGAAGGGGUGAAAUUCUCUACUGGGGGAGACAUUGGGAGUGCGAAUAUUAUAUGCAGACAGAAUACAUCCGUCGAUAAGGAAGAGGAGAAGACUGUGGUUGAGAUGCAAGAACCUGUUACUUUGACAUUUGCUUUGCGCUACUUGAACUCUUUCACCAAAGCCACACCAUUGUCUAGCACUGUCACCUUGAGCAUGUCCAAAGAACUUCCUGUAGCUGUAGAAUACAAAAUUGCAGACAUGGGUCACAUCCGAUUCUACCUCGCACCUAAGAUCGAGGAAGACGAAGAGAUGGCAAGCUAAAGUCACCUUUGGGUUGGAAUCCACUUACGGGAAGACCUUAGGUUAGAAGUAGUAAAGCUGUAAAGGGGAGUAAUUGUGAUUUGGUUUCUUUGUUGUAUCAGCCAGGUGGCUAAAUCCUUGUCGUGAUCAUUUUGCUUCAUGUUCAUCACACUGAAUCUUAUAUCAGGACCUGGCCAUCACGAAGUGGUGUAAACGCACUCUAGGCUUCACUUGUAGCUUGGUUCUAUCUUUGCAGCCCUAUCUAGAUGUGAGCAGAGCGCCCCUACUCCCGGGUUUCACUC